CCUACGGGAGGCAGCAGUGAGGAAUAUUGGUCAAUGGGCGUAAGCCUGAACCAGCCAAGCCGCGUGAGGGAUGAAGGUUCUAUGGAUCGUAAACCUCUUUUAUAAGGGAAUAAAGUGUGGGACGUGUCCUGUUUUGUAUGUACCUUAUGAAUAAGGAUCGGCUAACUCCGUGCCAGCAGCCGCGGUAAUACGGAGGAUCCGAGCGUUAUCCGGAUUUAUUGGGUUUAAAGGGUGCGUAGGCGGCCUUUUAAGUCAGCGGUGAAAGUCUGUGGCUCAACCAUAGAAUUGCCGUUGAAACUGGGAGGCUUGAGUAUGUUUGAGGCAGGCGGAAUGCGUGGUGUAGCGGUGAAAUGCUUAGAUAGCACGCAGAACCCGGAUUGCGAAGGCAGCCUGCCAAGCCAUGACUGACGCUGAUGCACGAAAGCGUGGGGAUCAAACAGGAUUAGAUACCCGGGUAGUC
rnacentral:rRNA from 1 species